rnacentral:sRNA from 2 species
UAUUUCGUGUUGCCGAAUCCCUUCUCACCGGGAGGGAACGGGGGACCCAUGUUAUCUGGGGUGUAUCGCCGGGAAACCGGCGUAGGUGACUCCCAACACCGAACCCGUCAGCUAACCCCGUAGGCGUCAGAGGGAGAGGCG